ACAUAAUGUAACAGUUGUUUACAUUAUAGUUGUUUUAUUUCAGAUGUGCCGCCAUAGUUGCUGUUUUUGUGUCUAUUGGAUAAUGGUCGUUGCUGUUUUUGUGUCUAUUGGAUCAUGGUCGUUGCUGUUUUUGUGUCUAUUGUUUUUGUGUCAUGGUGUAGAAAAGAUUGUCGAUGUGAAGUCAUUUGUUGAGUGAUUGGUUGAGUGAUUGGGUAAUACACUCAUCGGUAUUUGUUUGGUCGUUUUUUAUUUUCCCACUUUGUGAAAAUGCCAAACAUGAUGGGUUUUUUGUGGAGUGCAACGACAUAUUUUUUGAUCCUCCGGAAGAGGUGUGGUGAUCUCCUUUGAAUAUGCCGAGAUAGUCGAGAAGCAGCUGGUUUUUGGUAGCAUAAUGAAUAAGGUUGGUUUUAUGUGACUUGAUGAUGGGCAACAUAAAAAGGUUUGGUUUCUUUCCAUUCACAUUCCAUAAUUUAUUGUCUUUCAUGUAAGAGUGAAAUAGGGUAAGCACCAAGUACCGGUAUCGAGGCUAGUUAGGAUUUUGAUUAAUGAUGUUUAAUUGAGUUUUAUUGAUUCUGUCCACAGGUAGCAAUGAAUGCAUUUGAAGGUAUGAGAUUUUGCACUUGUGGAUUGUCUGCAUCGGUGAAGUCAGAUUUUUGUGGCAUGUUACGAGUGCUUUCCUUGGGUUGGGAAGUUCCAAUAAUGGGAACUGUAUGGAUGAACAUCAUGGUACCAGAAACACGUCGGUUUAGAAGAAAAUGUAUUUGUCUCAGGAAAGGAAAAAAUAGGUACAACAAUUCGGUUUGUGGCAUGCACUCAAAACAUAUCACUUCCAGCGACCUACAGACAACGGCUGCUUAUGCAGGCAAUUGUACUAGCCGACAUUGUAUUCAUUCUCUAUUAAGAAUUUUAUAAUUAACUAGUGUUACGUAAAUUCCUUUUGUACGGUUGUUGUCAUGGAAAGAGAAGAAAUUCCAGUAGCUGGAAUUAAGUGGAAACUGCAACAGCCAUUUAAUGGGCAGUGAUUGUGAAUAUUCGGUUUCUAUAUGAAUGGAGAAGUCGUUGUAUGCAA